GACGAACGCUGGCGGCGUGCCUAAUACAUGCAAGUAGGACGCAGUUGCGAACGGGUGAGUAACGCGUAGGUAACUACCUAUUAGAGGGGGAUAACUAUUGGAAACGAUAGCUCAUACCGCAUACUAGUAGAUGGACCUGCGUUGUAUUAGCUAGUAGGUAGGGUAAAAGCCUCCCUAGGCAAAGAGACAUAGCCUCCCGUGGAGGGUGAUCGGCCACAAUUGGACUGGGGCACGGCCCAGACUCCUUAGGGAGGCAGCAGGAGGGAAUCUUCGGCAAUGGGGGGAACCCUGACCGAGCAACGCCGCGUUAGUGAAGAAAGUUUUCGGAGCGUAAAGCUCUGUUGUUAAGGAAGCGGUACUUAACCAGAAAGGGACGGCUAACUACGUGCCAGCAGCCGCGGUAAUAC
rnacentral:rRNA from 1 species